rnacentral:misc_RNA from 1 species
AGUCGUAACAAGGUUUCCGUAGGUGAACCUGCGGAAGGAUCAUUAACGUGCUUCAAAACAAAAACAAAAAUCAACCCGUGAACUUAAAACUGUAUGUUUUUAUGUGUUGUUGUAAUUAAUUUUUAAUUACUUCAACAUAUAAUACUCACCCCUUUUAACCACAAAUCUCUUAAAACAAGAUUUCGUGGAUUAAAAAACUUAAUCCCAUUCAUUCUGAAAACCUGUUUUCUUAUUGAAAACAAAUUAAAAUUGACGACUUUCAACGGUGGAUCUCUAGGCUCGU